UAGGGAAUCUUCGGCAAUGGGGGCGAACCCUCGACCGAGCAACGCCGCGUGAGUGAAGAAGGUUUUCGGAUCGUAAAGCUCUGUUGUAAGAGAAGAACACGAGUGAGAGUAACUGUUCAUUCGAUGACGGUAUCUAACCAGCAAGUCACGGCUAACUACGUACCAG
rnacentral:rRNA from 1 species